GAUCCGUUCGUCCCAGGUAAGAACCCGAGUCUGCCGGCAGCGGACCUCGAUUCCGCCGAGGUACGCACGCGUCCGCCGCUACUUGUCGUCUCCAUCCUCUAACCGAUCCGCCCGAUUAGUUUACCGCUGUUUCGUUGCUGCGAGAUUGCAUCUGCCGUUCUGAUUUCGUCUCGAGAGCAUCCGUGAUGUUACAUCCAGUUAAUCAUCCUUGCACUUUGAGGUUCGACAGUGAAGACAAACAUUGGGGAAUAUGUAGUCUGAGAUGCUCUCGCGUUCUUCUAUUUCUUGUUGAUUUUUUUUGUUUGUUUGUUUUGUUUGCGGCUUUGUGUUGCUUCAAGUCGUGGAUCGAUGAUGCGAAUAUUAACUGCGUUAUCUUUCUUGAACUUCUAAGUACUGAAGACACCAUAGUUUACUGAGAUCCAAGGAGCGCUUGAAGCUUUCGAACUUUUUUGUUUUGUUUUGUUUUAUAUGAUCACCUAUGAUUAAUGUGGCGGCUUGUACUAUGUAAAAUUAGUGUCACGAUGCAGUCGGUUCUUUGUUUACUUAUCGUCUUUUUUUUUUAUCUUCAUUGAUUCGUUUUUGCUCUGACUUUUGAUUGUUCUGUGCUUCGUCAUCUGGUCAUCGGGAGGAUCAGUUUCUGACUGAUCGGUUCCCAAUCGACUCGUUCCCUUGAAGCAACAUUGACCUGUUGUAUCCUGAGCUUCUUAUUGUCGUGCCCCUAGGAUGCGCCUCUCGCCUAAGGGCACAGUGGCUCUUACAUACAUUAUGCCCAUUAUAUCUCUCUAUUCUGGUUGAUCUGAAAUUGGGGAAAUCAAUAUAUGGCGAUGAUGAUAAAACUAAGGCUUGUUUCUCUGUUCAUUCGCAGUUGCCGCCUAAGAGCUUUCGCCCUGCCAGGUUUGAGAGCUGAUGCUGCUAAUUCCUUCCUUGGAUGUCUGAGCCAUGCUGAUUUCCCCAGUUUAUCUUUUUCUUUGCUUGUGCUGGUUUUCGGUUUAGGGUGUGCUUUAUCAUUACUACAAACAUCUUCCAUAUAUUUUGCACAAUUAUAUUAUAUGCUGGUAGUCUGGUUGUAUGAAAGUGGGAAGUCAAUUCAUGGCGAUGAUGAUAAAACUAAGGCUUGUUUCUCAGUACAUUCGCAGUUGCCGCCUAAGAGCUUUCGCCCUGCCAGGUUUGAGAGCUGAUGCUGCUAAUUCCUUCCUUGGAUGUCUGAGACAUGCUGAUUUCCCCAGUUUUUUUUCCCGUCUGAUUGUUUUCAGUUAUGGUGUGUUUUUAUCACUACUGAUAGAUCACUUGUAAUAAUAUCAUCAAUGCAAACAUUUAGUUGUGUUAUUUAUAUAUAGACAUCUUACAUAUAUUAUGCACAAUCGUAAUUACAUUCUUGCACUCUUGUUUGUAUGAAAGUGGGGAAUUCAAUUCAUGGCGGUGAUGAUAAAACUAAGGCUUGUUUCUCAAAACAUUCGCAGUUGCCGCCUAAGAGCAUUCGCCCUGCCAGGCUUGAGAGCUGAUGCUGCUAAUUCCUUCCUUGGAUGUCUGAGCCAUGCUGAUUUCCCCAGUUCAUGUUUUUUUUGCGUGUGCUGGUUUUUGGUUUAGAGUCUGUUUUUAUCGGUACUUAGAGAUCACUAUAUCAUCAAUGCAAUUUAUAUACAUAUAUUUUGCACUAUUAUAUUAUAUUUUGGCAGUCUACCUGAUUCAUUGCCCUUUGUUUUUCAAAAUAAAGGGUUUCAUUUUUAGACUUUUCUAAUUGUUCCAAACUAAUAGAAGUAGCAUUAAUCAAAUUUGCUUUUUCUCGUUCUAUAUCAGAGUAUCCAUUCAUUCGAUACUCAUCCGCCUCUAGUUCGACUUUCUGUAAUCGAAUCUGAGCUUUUUCGAGUUUCUCAAUGGUCCCUCUACGCAAUUCUUCUGAAUAGUUGGUAUGAAAGUGGGAAGUCAAUUCAUGGCGGUGAUGAUAAAACUAAGGCUUGUUUCUCAAAACAUUCGCAGUUGCCGCCUAAGAGCUUUCGCCCUGCCAGGCUUGAGAGCUGAUGCUGCUAAUUCCUUCCUUGGAUGUCUGAGCCAUGCAGAUUUCCCCGGUUAAUGUUUUUUUUUGCUUUUGCUGGUUUUAGGUUUAGGGUCGGUUUUUAUCAUUAUUUCUGGUAGAUUACUUGCAAUAAUAUCAUCAAUGCAAUAUGUUUUGCAUAUAUUUUGCACAAUUAUAUUAUAUUCUGGCAGUCUGGUUGGUAUGAAAGUGGGUAGUCAAUUCAUGGCGAUGAUGAUAAAACUAGGCUUGUUUCUCAAAACAUUCGCAGUUGCUGCCUAAGAGCUUUCGCCCUGCCAGGCUUGAGAGCUGAUGCUACUAAUUCCUUCCUUGGAUGUCUGAGCCAUGCUGAUUUCCCCAGUUCAUGUUUUUUUUUUUGCGUGUGCUGGUUUUUGGUUUAUGGUCUGUUUUUAUCGGUACUUAUAGAUCACUUGUAAUAAUUUCGUCAAUGCAAUUUAUAUACUUAUAUUUUGCACUAUUAUAUUAUAUUUUGGCAGUCUGGUUGGUAUGAAAGUGGGAAGUCAAUUCAUGGCGGUGAUGAUAUAACUAAGGCUUUUUUCUCAAAACAUUCGCAGUUGCCGCCUAAGAGCUUUCGCCCUGCCAGGCUUGAGAGCUGAUGCUGCUAAUUCCUUCCUUGGAUGUCUGAGCCAUGCUGAUUUCCCCGGUUAAUGUUUUUUUUUCUUGUGCUGGUUUUAGGUUUAGGGCUGGUUUUUAUCAUUAUUUAUGGUAGAUUACUUUUAAUAAUAUCAUCAGGGCAAAACUUUUUUUUUGUCUCUAAAUAGUGGCUUUUCUCUAAUUGAUUGCUUUUCUCACUGCCCCAUUAUUGAUUAGGCCAUCUACAGAGAGGUGGAUCUUUGUAUUUCUGCUCUGUUGCUACUACAUGUUUUUGUAAAUUUCAUUUUUUCUUUUUUGCCUUCUAGUUAACGAUGGAAAAUCGCAAGAUUUGUUCAGUUGAUGUGAUGAUUACCUUUCACAGAAAAUCAAAUUUAGUGUUGACUAAAAUUACAGACUACAAUUAUGUGAUCAACUCCUGAAAUAUUUGCUGCACUGAUCUUUUCUCCUGUUCCUCCGAAUCUUAACCUCUUCUAUUGGUGAUGCAAAAUCCUAAUCUGAAUAGACUUUGUGCCAGUAUUUUAUCUGGUUGCUGAUGCCGUUCGUGCACAGCAAGCUGUUGCUCUGGAUGAGAAGAGGAAGGAUGCAUCGUAAUGUUCACGGAGAUCGACUGAACUUGUCUGCAUGUCUGCUUGCCCUGACGCUUUCUGGCCUUGAGCUCGUGGGCCUGGAUUUGACACACAUUGUUUAUUCAUCCCAUAUUAAACAUUUGGCAGGGUUUGCACAGCGCAUGGCCUUGUCUGUAUCUGGAGGCUGUGAUUGUCUUCUGCCAGCAGCUCAGAUGGAUUGAUAUAAAUUUCGUGUAGGAUCAAAGUGUCUAAUUAUGGUUUUGGAGCGAUGAUGAUACAUUGUGGACUAGAGUUUCUGAUACUGCCACUUCAGUAGUAUUUGAAGACAAACCCUUGGCUGUCUGAGCUCCAGGAUUUACCAAAUCAUUUUGCUUUAGAUUUGAUUGACCUUGUCUGUAAGGUGUCAUGCGUCCAUUACCAAUUCCAGAGGAUGAUUUAAGUUCCUCAUGGUGUAAUGGCUUGAUGUGUGGUAUAUCCUGAUUGGUGGCUUUCAUUAUGCCAGCUGAUCUUGGAAACGCCACAUAUAAUUAAAUGUUUAUUUUGACUAUUUGGUUCAGUUCUGUAUAUAAAAUAAAUUAGGUUGAACUUUGAAAGUGAAAGUGUUACUGGUGACAGUGUCAACAGUUCUUUAAAUGUUUCAUAUGUAUAACUGAUAGAUUCUUCCAAAUUCUGUGAUACUGAUUUCAUUCUGAAGCUUAUUUUGUUGAAUAUAUGUGGAUGGUGAUAUCACAAGUAAAAUACAGUUAUCCCUGUCUUACUUCUUCGGAAGGGUGCUGAGUA